rnacentral:rRNA from 1 species
GACGAACCGUGCGAACGUUAUUCGGAAUCACUGGGCUUAAAGCGCGUGUAGGCGGGCCGCCGCGUCGGCUGCUGAAAUCCCCCGGCUCAACCGGGGAACGGGCACCGAUACGGGCGGCCUCGAGGGGGGUAGGGGGGUCUGGAACUUCCGGUGGAGCGGUGAAAUGCGUUGAGAUCGGAAGGAACGCCCGUGGCGAAAGCGAGGCCCUGGACCCUUACUGACGCUGAGACGCGAAAGCCAGGGGAGCGAACGG